rnacentral:lncRNA from 1 species
UGCACUACAGCCUGGAGGACAGAGCAAGACUCCAUCUCAAAAAAAAAAGAAAAGAAAAAAGAAAAUCCCGUGCCUUGUUUGUAGCAAUACUUGGCAAACCGUCUCACAAAUAUGGGUUCUCUACCUGGCCAGUGCCAUGUUGCCUGUUUCUUUACUGUAACUGUGGUGACAAAGAAAAGGGAAGAUGGAGCCUCCAUGUUGAACAUACCUGGCCCCCAGCACUAACUCCCUCUCUGGAUAUCUGGAACAAGGAGGACCUUAAACUUAACAAUAAAGCCAAUGAUGGUUCUACCAGUCUCCCCAAAGCCUCAAGUUUAAAAGCCAUAUGAACUGGCUGAUAGUGGAAAAUGGAAGCCAUGAGGAAAUCAGAUUAGAGUACUACCUGGUGAAGCCUGGAGGACCUACCAAGAAAAGCAAACUUGGAUCUUUGCAAGGUUAGAAGAACGAAUGGGAUCCAAGAAAAAGACUGGUCAUAUUCAACGGCUAAGAGCGUUGGAGAAGGCCUGUGGAGUCUCAGCAGGUCAGGUCCAUGACUCAUGAGUAGACACCUGUGUUUCUACUGCCUGGUGCCAUAAUCAUAAACAAGGAAGAAACUGAGGACAGGAGGGGCCAAACAAGUUACAGUUUCAUCCCUCCAGAGAGCCAACAGAGUAUUUUGCACGAAGUUGAAGCUAAACAGGUAUUAUGUCCUAUCUCUGGACUGAAUGACUAGAUGCUACUCAGCUUCUGAACUAGAGGAAGCCUGGGACCUUGACCGCACUAAUGCUGAUGACAGCGGAUUUGCAAGUGGCUAGAGGUACCAGAUUUAGCAAAUCAAAAUAUAGGACGUCAAGUUAAAUUUAAGUGUAAGAUAAGCUACGAAUACCUUUUCUAGUAUUAGUACGUCCCAUGCAAUAUACUAGAAAUGUUAUUCGUUAUUUAUGUUAAAUUUAAUUUUAUUAGGGCAUCCUAUAUUUUACCUGUCAAUCCAACCCAUGACCUAGGCAGACACUGUAGAAAAACAAAAGGAGAAUUAAGGAGAUAAAUGAAACACAGGGUGAGCUGAAAAGAGGUGCUCUGUGAAUUUGAGGGUCCAGUAGGAGCUGACUUGUAGGUACUUGGUCUGUUUUGAUGCCCACAACAACCUUGGGGAAGGGGCGGAAUAGCAGAGGGGUAAGCUCUCUGCCCCCCACCAGGGUUCUGCAGGACGCCAGGGCUUUUAUCAGCACCCCUAUGUUCACAUCCUGGCUGCACCCUCCUUGGUUGUAUAUACUCUGGAUAAUUCACUUAAUUUAAAUCUUGCUGCUUUUAUAAAAUUGAUAAAAAGUUAAUAGUGACACUGAUCACACUGAUGUCCCUCAAUGAAUUAUCAAUAUGUUUUUUCUUCCCACCUAUAUUCUUUAUUGAACUCUGUUAUUUUUGAUCCUGGUCUAGAGUAAGCAUUAUGACCAUGCAAGAGUGAAAUGAAAUUUUUAAAAAUAAUUUUUUAAUGUUUUCUGAAUGCUGGGUGUUUUCAAUGAUCAUGCAUGACUGGCAGCAAAGAGGAACGAGGAUGGAUUCGAUAAGGUGCAACAAGUCCUGAACACACACAGAGAACUGGCUGUGAAUCCUGUUUCUGCCACUCACCACUUACUUGUUGGUGAAAAUGCUCAGGAUGUUCACUGCAGCCUGCCUCACCCUGGAAAAGAGAUGUGAGGAUAAUGAGAAAGAAGAGUAUGUUCAGUGCGGAGCAUGCAAAUUUGCAUGAAAACUUCCCAGGCAAAGCAGGAAAGAAACCAGACCUCUUUUCUGCACAAUAAUGGGGCCCACUAACUCUGGGGAAAAGAGUAAUCAGCAAAUGCCUUUCCUUUCUCCUGCUGAUGUUUUGCCCGUACUCAGACCCCUUGACUUCUUAGCUUCUACCCAAAGUGAGCUUGUCAUCAAAGUUCUCCAAAAAUCUGCAGUGUUCUCUUGAGCAAAUCUGCUUCCAAGACUAUAGCGCUCUGAUGCAUUGAGAUGACAGCAAGCGGCAUUUUUCAGUCCUGUUACCCAUAUGGCUGCUACCACUGCAUCCUGUUAAAUAAUGUCUUCAACCCAAGAAACCUGCUUCCUAGGGAAGUUUCUCUCUCUCUGCAUUUGUUCCCACUAGAGAAUGACCAUCACCAGAUUCCUGAACUGAAAAUGCUGUUGACACUUUGGAAACUCGGGCCUCUAUUAAUAGGGUGACCAACUAUCCUGGUUUACCUUGAGUACAGGAUUUUCAAUGCUAAAACCAGAAAAACCAGGAUGGUUGGUCAUCUGCCUCAGACCUAAUAAAUACCAGUCAAUAAUUCAGCCAUGA